rnacentral:misc_RNA from 1 species
GUGAAUCAUCAAAUUUUUGAACGCAUAUUGCACUCUCGGGUAUUCCGGGGAGUAUGCCUGUUUGAGGGUCAUUUGAAAUCAUAUAAAUUACAAGAUUUUUCGGACUUUAAAAUGGGUUGUCGAUUGUUUGUGGUCGCCUAAAAUCUAAGACAAGCUCAUUAUCUUGGGUUGCGUGGUACUUUUGGUUACCUCGUUACUUAACCAGGGAAUAUAAAGCGGG